rnacentral:lncRNA from 1 species
CAAAUAUAUGUGUAUGUAUGCAAAUGCAUGUGUAUGCAAAAUAUUUUUUUUUUAAUUUUAAAUUUUGAAGGUAUGCUAAAAGUUUUGUUUUUUAGAUGCAAUGCAAGUGUCACAUUAGGAAAAUGAUAGAUAAGAGAACCCACACGGGUUUAGGGAUUAUGAUGGAUAUUGAACCCCCAUAUGGGUUUAAGGAUAAUGCCAAAUAUAAGGAUGCCUUGUUUAAGAAGGUUCCUUAUUGAUAGGGAUAAUAAUUGGCAUGGGAAACCCAAACAAUUUUGAG